rnacentral:rRNA from 1 species
CCUACGGGAGGCAGCAGUGGGGAAUAUUGCACAAUGGGGGAAACCCUGAUGCAGCGACGCCGCGUGAGUGAAGAAGUAUCUCGGUAUGUUAAACUCUAUCAGCAGGGAAAAAAAUGACGGUACCUGAGUAAGAAGCUACGGCUAACUACGUGCCAGCAGCCGCGGUAAUACGUAGGGGGCAAGCGUUAUCCGGAUUUACUGGGUGUAAAGGGAGCGUAGACGGCAGCACAAGUCUGUAGUGAAAUGCCGGGGCUUAACCCCGGAACUGCUUUGGAAACUGUGCAGCUAGAGUGCAGGAGAGGUAAGCGGAAUUCCUAGUGUAGCGGUGAAAUGCGUAGAUAUUAGGAGGAACACCAGUGGCGAAGGCGGCUUACUGGACUGUAACUGACGUUGAGGCUCGAAAGCGUGGGGAGCAAACAGGAUUAGAUACCCUUGUAGUC